rnacentral:tRNA from 1 species
UUAUGGAGCCGUGGCCUACUGGUUAGGGCUUCGGGCUUGGAACCAAAGGGUUGCCGGUUCAAUCCCCGACCAAAAA